rnacentral:rRNA from 1 species
CGGCAACAGCUCAAAUUUGAAAUCUGGCCCUUUCGGGGUCCGAGUUGUAAUUUGUAGAGGGUGUUCCGGCAUCGGGCCCGGGCUAGGUUCCUUGGAACAGGACGUCACAGAGGGUGAGAACCCCGUCUUCGCCCGGGACUCCUUUGCCGUGUGGAACCCCUUCGAC